rnacentral:snoRNA from 1 species
UGAAAUGAUGAUCGCACUGGGCUCUGAGCAGUUUGAUUAAAGACUGCUAAUUUGAUGCACACUGCAGCCUAGAAAGCUAUGUCUGAUCU